rnacentral:rRNA from 1 species
AGCAUGUGGCUUAAUUUGACUCAACGCGGGAAAUCUUACCGGGUCCGGACACACUGAGGAUUGACAGACAAACACAUUUAUGUGUUAUAAAGAUGCUAGUUCUUUCAUGAUUAUGUGAUAGGUGGUGCAUGGCCGUUCUUAGUUCGUGGAGUGAUCUGUCUGCUUAAUUGCGUUUCAAUAUUUUAUUACGUAUACGUAUGACCAACUACCUUCAUCGGUAUGUUUGUGUCUAGUAUGCUAUCAUUUGAAAGCAACGAACGUGACCGUAUCCUUUUAUUAUGUACGCACGCGUAUAUUUAUUUCAUUAAAGGGACCGCUGUUUCUUUCUUUAAACCAGAGGAAGGUUACGGCAAUAACAGGUCUGUGAUGC